GUUGACCAUGCUUUCACCAUGCGUGUUCACAGGGGAAGGACCUGCGUUCCACCGGUCAUCUGAAGUCAUUCUAAUUCUCCGGUUGGAAUGUCAUUCAAGAUAUAUGUAAACAACAUUCUAAAGAUUGAUUCAGUACAUCGUUUGACAUGUUUCUACUGACUGUUACGGAACUUUUGGACAUUUUGUUACGUUAUAGUGGACGCGCUUUGUGACUUUGGAUUUUUUUAUCAAAAUAGCUAAUUGGACAUAAAUAACGGACAGUUUCAAACAAAUCAAGCAUUUAUUGUGCACCUGGGAUUCCUAGGACUGCAUUCUGAUAAAGUUCAUCAAAGGUAAGGAAACAUUUAUCAUGUAUUUUCUGGUUUCUGUUGACUCCAAUAUGGCGGCUAAUUUGGCUACUGUUCUGAGCUCUGUCUCAGAUUAUUGCAUGGGUUGCUUUUACCGUAAACUUUUUUUUAAAUCUGACACAGCGGUUGCAUUAAGGAGAGGUAUAUCUAUAAUUCCAUGUGUAUAACUUAUAUUAUCAUCUACAUGUAGGAUGAGUAUUUCUGUUGAAACGACUUGAUGUUUUUGGAACUAGUGAAUCUAAUACGCCAAUGUAAACUCAAAUUUUUUAGGUAAAUAUGAACUUUAUCAAACAAAACAUGCAUGUAUUGUGUAACAUGAAGUCCGAUGGGUGUCAUCUGAUGAAGAUAAUUCAAGUUGUCAUAUCGAUCCCGUUAGUGGGAAUGCAGCCAUAACAAGAUAACCACCCCCAGACACAUCUGGCUAACUUGACAGUAACUGAUUGAAUGUGCCUGGGAGGAAUCCUCACUAUCAGUAUCGGCAAUUUGGCAGUAUGCCCAGAACCUUGUUUGGAGAACGAAAGGGAUAUCUCAGUUUCAAGGUCUCAGCUUGGAGACAAGAAGCCUUGUGAGGUGUUGGUCAUUUACAUGCAUGAACCAAACGUUAAUGAUUAAUUAAUUAUGAAUGAUGAAUAAACUAAAUCAUGCAAAUAUAACUUGUCUGUGUAAGCAGUAUAUAAGAGAACUAACAGGACUGCCCCGGAGGAGCUCACUUCAGAAUGGUACUUUAUGCAUCCAAGUUUGACUGUGACCUCUCCAGUUUGCUGU
ensembl:lncRNA